rnacentral:rRNA from 1 species
CGUAGGGCGCAAGCGUUGUCCGGAAUUAUUGGGCGUAAAGAGCUCGUAGGCGGUUUGUCGCGUCUGCUGUGAAAACCCGGGGCUUAACUCCGGGCUUGCGGUGGAAACGGGCAGACUAGAGGCAGGUAGGGGAGAAUGGAAUUCCCGGUGUAGCGGUGAAAUGCGCAGAUAUCGGGAGGAACACCGGUGGCGAAGGCGGUUCUCUGGGCCUGGUCUGACGCUGAGGAGCGAAAGCGUGGGGAGCGAACAGGAUUAGAUACCCUGGUAGUCCACGCCGUAAACGUUGGGCGCUAGGUGUGGGGUCUUUCCACGGAUUCCGUGCCGUAGCUAACGCAUUAAGCGCCCCGCCUGGGGAGUACGGCCGCAAGGCUA